GUGCUCGCGUUGGCAGCACAUACACUAAAAUCGUAACCAUACAGAGAAGAUUAGCAAGGCCCCUGAUGCAGGAUGACAUACAGAUUUGUGAAGCAUUCCAUAUUUUU